rnacentral:lncRNA from 1 species
UCAGCUUGAAGCACUUCCUGUAGCAUUGCUUAUGGCGACGGUCUCCUGACAACAGAUUUUUAUUUGGCUUAUCUGGAAAUGUCUUUGUUUUUCUCCUAUGUUGGAGGAAUAGUUAACUGGACGUCCAAGUCAUGAUUGGAAGUUACUUUUCUUUCCUCUCUUCCAGCAUAGCAUUCAUUCCUUCUGGCCUUCCUUGUUUCUGCUUAGAGGUCACCGUGCAGCGAGCAUGAUGUGCCAUGAUGUGCUGCCGGGUCACAGCCCCAAAGGCAACAGGGCCAGCUGCCCAGGAGCUGAAACCUGGAGCCACGCUGUUAGGUUAUCCUAGUUAUUUUGUCGCCAACAUAAGCUCUCUCACCACUCCUUAACUCUGUUGUUGCUUUGCCUAGAAUGCCCUUUCAUACAUAUCACACAGUCAGACCUGCCUCCUAAGCCUCCAGCGCCAGGAAGCCCUCAGUGGUCCCUCCAGCUGGACACGCUACCUUCUCCCUGGAACACCCUUUCUGUGGCCCCACCUGCAAACACUGUCACACUGGAAUUAGGAUUUCAACCUAAAACUAAUGAACUUAAGAAUUAAUCCAUUAAUGAAUUUAAUGAAUUAGAGGAGAUGGUACUGGGCAGCCCUCUGCACCCCAAUACCUGUGAGUGUGACCUUCCUCAGAAACAGGGUCUUCUCAGAUGUAAUUAGGUAUCUCAAGAUGAGACUGCCCUGGACUUAGUCUGGACCCUGAAUCCAGUGACUGGUAUCUGCAGUAGAGACAGAAACAGGAAAUGUGGGACACACACACACUGGUGCAAUGCAGUGGAGGAGGCCAGGGGAGGGCUGGGGAGAGAUUAGAGUUCUGCUUCUCCAAGCCAAGGAAGGCCCGGAGCCAUGGAGGCUGGAAGCGGUGAGGCAGGCGGUCUGGAGCACCUGUGGAGACAGCACGGCCGCAGUCAGUCACCGUGAGUGCGGACUUGGAUCUCCAGAGCCGUCUGAGAAUAGAUGUCCUUCCUCACUUCUGAGCCAUCGCGUUGUGGUGAUUUGCCACGCGGCCUCAGGGAACUAGGACGUGAGCCCACUAUACCACCAAGUCACAAACUGAUUUCUUCAGCC